AGGAAGGGGCCUGAGGCUGUUAGGAAUGGUGGGAGUUGGAGUCCAAAACACCCAGAGAGCCAAAAUUAGCCCAUACCUACACUACACAUAUUUCCGUUUCUGCAGAACUCCGGGUAGACUUGGGUACCCAAAUCUCUCAGCCUUCAAGCAUCCCUUAUGAGAUACCAUUGGACUCUAGGCCCAAAUUAACACCAGCCUUUGCCUCUCUUGGCUGCCUCUUUUUCCUCCCCAAGCUUUCCGCUUGGCCCUGUCGCAACGGAGGCUUCUUCUUCCAGCUCUUCUUCCUCCUCUCUGUGCUUGCUUUGCUUUGCUUGGUGUUCUGAACUUCCUGUUGUUUACUGCAAAGCUAUAGUUUGUGGAUUGCUCCCAGCUUGAAGGGGGAUGAUGGGAUCUCUGGAUUCCCCAGCUGGUUUGAUCUGACUGGUUGGGAAGAUGAAGCCAUAUCUGACUCCGAAGACAGGUUGGGAUAGAUGAAGCCAUAUCUGACUCCGAGGACAGGUUGGGGUAGAUGAGGCCAUCUCUGACCAAAGACAGGUUGAGGUAGAUGAGGCCAUCUCUGACUCCAAAGACAGGUUGGGGUAGAUGAAGCCAUCUCUGAAGGCAGGUUGGGAUAGAUGAAGCCAUCUAUGACUCUGAAGGAAGGUUGGGGUAGAUGAGGCCAUAUCUGACUCUGAAGGCAGGGUGGGGUCGAUGAGACCAUAUCUGUGUCUGAGGACAGAUUGGGGUAGAUGAGACCAUCUCUGACUCUGAAGACAGGUUGGAGUAGAUGAGGCCAUCUCUGACUCUGAAGGCAGGUUGGGAUAGAUGAAGCCAUCUCUGACUCCAAAAGAAGGUUGGGGUAGGUGACGCCAUAUCUGACUUUGAAGACAGGUUGAGGUAGAUGAGGCCAUCUCUGACUCCGAAGACAGGUUGGCUAGAUGAGACCAUCUCUGACUCUGAAAGCAGGUUGGGGUAGAUGAGACCAUCUCUGACUCCAAAGACAGGUUGGGGUAGAUGAGACCAUCUCUGACUCCGAAGGCAGGUUGGGGUAAAUGGGGCUAUGUCUGACUCUGAAGGCAGAUUGAGAUAGAUGAAGCCAUAUCUGACUCUGAAGACAGGUUGGGGUAGAUGGGACCAUCUCUGAAUCUAGAGGCAGGUUGGGGUAGAUGAAGCCAUCUCUGACCGAAGACAGGUUGGGGUAGAUGAAGCCAUCUUUGACCGAAGACAGGUUGGGAUAGAUGAGGCCAUAUCUGACUCCGAAGACAGGUUGGGGUGGAUGAGGUCAUAUCUGACUCCAUAGAUGGGUUGGGGUAGAUGAGACCAUAUCUUACUCAGAGGACAGGUUGGGGUAGAUGAGACCAUCUCUUAC